rnacentral:rRNA from 1 species
AGCUGGCGACCGGCGCACGGGUGAGUAACACGUAUCCAACCUGCCUCAUACUCGGGGAUAGCCUUUCGAAAGAAAGAUUAAUAUCCGAUAGCAUAUAUUUCCCGCAUGGGUUUUAUAUUAAAGAAAUUCGGUAUGAGAUGGGGAUGCGUUCCAUUAGUUUGUUGGCGGGGUAACGGCCCACCAAGACUACGAUGGAUAGGGGUUCUGAGAGGAAGGUCCCCCACAUUGGAACUGAGACACGGUCCAAACUCCUACGGGAGGCAGCAGUGAGGAAUAUUGGUCAAUGGACGCGAGUCUGAACCAGCCAAGUAGCGUGAAGGAUGACUGCCCUAUGGGUUGUAAACUUCUUUUAUAUGGGAAUAAAGUGGUCCACGUGUGGAUUUUUGUAUGUACCAUAUGAAUAAGGAUCGGCUAACUCCGUGCCAGCAGCCGCGGUAAUACGGAGGAUCCGAGCGUUAUCCGGAUUUAUUGGGUUUAAAGGGAGCGUAGGCGGAUUGUUAAGUCAGUUGUGAAAGUUUGCGGCUCAACCGUAAAAUUGCAGUUGAUACUGGCAGUCUUGAGUGCAGUAGAGGUGGGCGGAAUUCGUGGUGUAGCGGUGAAAUGCUUAGAUAUCACGAAGAACUCCGAUUGCGAAGGCA